AUUGAACGCUGGCGGCAUGCUUUACACAUGCAAGUCGAGCGGCAGCGCGGGACUCAGGCAACUGAGCCCUGGCGGCGAGCGGCGGACGGGUGAGUAAUGCAUCGGAACGUGUCCCGUAGU
rnacentral:rRNA from 1 species